rnacentral:rRNA from 1 species
UACGUAGGGGGCAAGCGUUAUCCGGAUUUACUGGGUGUAAAGGGAGCGUAGGCGGCUUAGUAAGUCAGAAGUGAAAGCCCGCAGCUCAACCGCGGAACUGCUUUGGAAACUGUAUAGCUUGAGUACUGGAGAGGCAGGCGGAAUUCCUAGUGUAGCGGUGAAAUGCGUAGAUAUUAGGAAGAACACCAGUGGCGAAGGCGGAUGACUGGACGACAACUGACGGUGAGGCGCGAAAGCGUGGGGAGCAAACAGG